AUUGAACGCUGGCGGCAGGCCUAACACAUGCAAGUCGAGCGAGCGGCGGACGGGUGAGUAAUGUCUGGGAAACUGCCUGAUGGAGGGGGAUAACUACUGGAAACGGUAGCUAAUACCGCAUACCAUCAGAUGUGCCCAGAUGGGAUUAGCUAGUAGGUGGGGUAACGGCUCACCUAGGCGACGAUCCCUAGCUGGUCUGAGAGGAUGACCAGCCACACGGGAACGUAGACACGGUCCAGACUCCUACGGGAGGCAGCAGUGGGGAAGUGUGCACAAUGGGCGCAAGCCUGAUGCAGCCAUGCCGCGUGUAUGAAGAAGUCCUUCGGGUUGUAAAGUCCUUUCAGCGGGGAGGCGGUACCCGCAGAAGAAGCACCGGCUAACUCCGUGCCAGCAGCCGCGGUAAUAC
rnacentral:rRNA from 1 species